UAAAUAAGGCUUCUCCCUUACUUGGAUGACCUUAUUGAUAAUACUAAGUGAGGAACCAAUUCAAGGGUUUUCUCUACUUCUAAAUUCUCUCUCAAAUUCCUUGGUUUUAUAACACGUUAUCAGCACGAAUUCGCUCAAACAAUACCAGUUGAAUUUUAUGAUGAAACCCAGAUCUCUCAUCCCUCUCUCCUUCCAUCCAUUGCUUUUAUUUUUGUUUUGUUGUGUUUCUUGGUGGAGGAGCUCAAGGAAAUGAUUGCCUUGCAGAUGGUGGAUCCAAUCCAACUAUGCAAAUUGUUUCCCUGCAGAAUUCUUAUAUCCAAAAGAAAUAAAGCAAAAGCAACCCACCAAGAUCAUUAACAUAGUGGGUUUGCUUUCCCUCAAGUCUUCGCCCUGUCUAUCUUUUGAGUCUUCAACAGUACCAAAAUGUCAAAUACCAAAAGACUUUUUGCUGCAUUUGGCAUUUGAGAAUUUGAGAAACAAAACAAAUAGCAAUUAGAACAAAGCAAACACACCAAACACACCAACACCCUAUCUCCCUCUCUCUCUCUCUAGAAAUUUCAAAAGCGAAGACUCUGUUUUUCUUUAGCCUCAGCUCCUCUGCUUCUUCUCUGUUUCUCCCAAUUUGUUGAGAAGGGAAGGGAACUAAUAAGUCACACGGACUCCUUGGUAUCUCAGAAUCUCACCAAUAAGCUCCCCUUUACCAGAGCCCACAUACCUCUCGCAAAUCUCACCAUCUCUAAUGAACAAGAAAGUAGGCACCUCCACCACCUCCAUGUCCUUGAGGAACUACAGGCAGCUAUCAUUCUCAUCACCGUUCAUUCUCGCGAACACCACCGUGUCUGACAUCUUCCUGGACAGCUUCACCACCGUCGGAUACACCUUCACACAGGGCCCACAGUGCCUGAGCCCCACAUCAAGCACAAUCAGCUUGUGGUCCACCUUAUGCUCUGCAAUCAACUUCUCCACGUCCUCCCUCUGAUGCAGUUGAACCACAGCGGAGUGGUUGUCCCCGUAAUACAGCAAAAGAGAGGGAGUUGGCGGCUAUGGAGAUUGGGACGUUGGCUAAAGAAGAUGUCAAGGUCAGGAAGUUGGUCGGUGGGCUUGGAGCUCUCUAAGCCCGUAGGGGCUGGCUUGGGGCUGUAAAAGUUACUUCUCCUAAAAUCCCAUUAUUAAUUCCCAAUUCCAUUUCCACCACGAAGGCCUCUAGUCCCGUAGUCAUGGCCACAGAAGAAAUAGUAUUGGAAGAAGAAAAAGAAGAAGAGAAGGAAAGAAUGGUUACGUUGGGAUUCUACAAAGGUAUGGUUAGGCUGCUGAGGGUGAAAGCAGAACAAGAAAGAAAAAAAAAAGAAGAGGUCCUCUGCUUCCCUAUCUUCCAAUUAUUUUAGUAUUAUCCUAUACUAUUUAACUUGCUUUGCAGGUGGAAAGGCAGUAGCAAGCUUGAUAUCCAUCAUCUUUUAGCUACAAUUAACAAAAACAUGAUAAAGAACAGCACCCACCGAAAUGAUGAGCUUCCCACUAUUUUUUUCAUUUAUUAUUAUAGAAAUUUAGUUAUAUACCCAAUCUUAGACAUGGUUUUAUAAAGAAACCCUACACCGUUUAAAAACUAUAAACACACCCAAAAAAAAUCCAAAAAUUGACAGCUAUCAAUUUUUUUUAAUUUAAUAGUUGUUUUUUAGUUUAUUUGUGUGUGUUAAAUACCUAUAUUGUCCUUGUACUAUGGAUUUAAGAGAGGAAAAUCAGAUCUGCCCAGAUCUGCCAUAAAACCAAAUAUUUCCAUGUCUGCCAAAAAACCAAAUCUGCCAAAAAAACCAAAUCUGCCAAAAAAUCAAAUCAUAUUUAUUUUCUCCUUUCUCGCUGGUGUUUUCUCUGGUGUUGGAGCAAGAGGAGCUUCCAUUGAAGCUCAGUCUCAGACCUUGAAAAAACCUCGAUCAGAUGCUUUUAGCUCUACUCCUCAUCUUCGAGCUCUACUCCUCUUUCGCCACAUCAUUGUCGUUGUUAUCGUCGUCGCCGUCGUCGUCGUCGUUUGGUUUGUACUUGAGAUUUUUGAUCUUUUGCUUCAAUUAUGUGUUUCUCUUCGGAUUUUAGUUGAUUUUCGAAAUGUAUUUGAAGCUUUGAUGAUCGAUUCAACUUUUGUUACUAUUUCA